rnacentral:rRNA from 1 species
GAUUUCUGGCUUUGGCGCGCUUGGCCCGCCGCGAUUUUCGCGUUGUGAGUGCCGAUGUGUGCCGGUCAUCCUUCGAGAGAGCUGUUCUCUUUCUUUAUUGGAAGUGGAACAGUCAUCUCGAUCUUUUACUUUGAAAAAAUUAGAGUGUUCAAAGCAGGCUUAUGCUAUGAAUACAUUAGCAUGGAAUAAUAAUUUAGGACUUUGGUCUUAUUUUGUUGGUUUCUAAGACUGAAGUAAUGAUUGAUAGGGAUAGUUGGGGGUGCUAGUAUUCAGCGGCCAGAGGUGAAAUUCUUGGAUUCGCUGAAGACUAACUUAUGCGAAAGCAUU